UUGUCCAGAGUCAAAGAUGCUCCACUGAGGCUGUUUCGCUUAGAAAUAUUUGGGAGCCUGCUGUGCUGGAACAGGGUCUCACUGGUGACUGCUACCACUUCAGGGCUGGGGUGCUGAGGGCCGCACAGCUGUACCCAGCAAAAACACUACUGAGAAUGAAGGCAGGGAACGUCAACGAACGUCAACGUGGCUGGAGUGCAGUGGCAUGAACAUGGCUCACUACAGCCUCAACCUCCUGAGCUCAAGCGAUCCUCCCACCCCAGCCUCCCAAGUAGCUGGGACUACAAGUGCAUGCCACCACGCCUGGCUACUUUUUGCAUUUUUUGUAGAGACAGGGUUUUACCGUGUUGCCCAGGCUUGUCUC
rnacentral:lncRNA from 1 species